GGAGCGGAGCAGCGCGGGCGGCCCCGGCGCUGGUGCUGCCGCUGCCCGGGGCGGGAGGGAGGGGGCAGGUGUGGCCGGCCCGGCGGGCGCAGCCCCAUGGAGCGGGGGAAGAUGGCGGAGCUGGAGAGCCUGGAGACGGCGGCGGAGCACGAGCGGAUCCUGCGGGAGAUCGAGAGCACCGACACGGCCUGCAUCGGCCCCACGCUCAGGUCCGUCUAUGAUGGAGAAGAACACGGUCGCUUUAUGGAGAAACUGGAGGCACGGAUCAGGAACCAUGAUCGUGAGAUCGAGAAGAUGUGCAACUUCCAUUACCAGGGCUUUGUGGACUCCAUCACAGAGCUGCUGAAGGUUAGGGGAGAGGCUCAGAAACUGAAGAAUCAAGUGACAGACACCAACAGGAAGCUGCAGAAUGAAGGAAAAGAAUUGAUCGUAGCGAUGGAAGAGCUGAAGCAAUGCCGGUUACAGCAGCGGAAUAUAUCAGCGACGGUGGAUAAGCUCACGCUGUGUCUUCCCGUCCUGGAGAUGUACAGCAAACUGCGAGAGCAAAUGAAAUCUAAAAGGCACUACCCUGCACUCAAGACCCUGGAGCACCUCGAGCACACCUACCUGCCCCAAGUGAGCCACUACCGCUUCUGCAAGAUCAUGGUGGAUAAUAUCCCAAAGCUGCGUGAAGAGAUCAAGGAAGUUUCCAUGUCAGACCUCAAGGAUUUCCUGGAGAGCAUCCGUAAGCACUCGGACAAGAUUGGAGAGACGGCCAUGAAACAGGCACAGCAGCAACGAAACCUGGACAAUAUUGUAUCACAGCAUCCCAGGAUAAGUGGGGGGAAGAAGUCCAAGAAAGAAGCCUGCGCAAGCUCAGAACUGGAGGUAAAAAACACUAGCCCCAUGUCUGAGCAAGAUUCGGGUAUCCUGGAUGUUGAAGAUGAGGAUGAGGAUGAAGAGGUACCUGGAGCCCAGGACCUGGUGGACUUCUCCCCGGUGUACCGAUGUCUGCACAUAUACUCUGUCCUGGGUGCCCGAGAAACCUUUGAGAACUACUACAGGAAACAGAGAAGAAAACAAGCCAGAUUGGUCCUGCAGCCUCCUUCCAACAUGCACGAAACGUUAGACGGCUACAGGAAGUAUUUUAAUCAAAUUGUAGGGUUUUUUGUAGUUGAAGAUCACAUCUUGCAUACAACGCAGGGCUUGGUAAAUAGAGCCUAUAUUGAUGAGCUGUGGGAGAUGGCGUUAUCAAAAACUAUUGCAGCACUAAGAACACAUUCAUCCUACUGCUCGGACCCGAGCCUGGUGUUAGACUUGAAGAACCUCAUUGUCCUCUUUGCAGAUACACUGCAGGGAUACGGCUUCCCAGUGAACCAGCUCUUUGACAUGCUGUUGGAGAUCCAAGACCAGUAUAGUGAAACCCUGCUGAAGAAAUGGUCAGGAGUUUUCAGAAAUAUACUUGAUUCAGAUAACUACAGCCCCAUCCCAGUGACGAGUGAAGAAGUUUAUAAGAAAAUAGUUGGACAGUUCCCAUUCCAGGAUGCAGAACUUGAAAAGCAACCGUUUCCAAAGAAGUUCCCCUUUUCUGAGUUUGUGCCUAAAGUUUACAAUCAGAUUAAGGAAUUCAUCUAUGCCUGCCUGAAGUUUUCGGAAGACCUUCACCUGAGCUCCACGGAGGUCGAUGACAUGAUCAGGAAAUCCACAAACCUGCUGCUGACCCGAACCCUGAGCAACUGUUUACAGACCGUCAUCAAGAGGAAGAACGUUGGGCUGACGGAGCUUGUACAGAUCAUUAUAAAUACGACCCAUUUGGAGAAAUCCUGCAAGUUCCUAGAGGAAUUCAUAACCAAUAUCACUAAUGUACUUCCAGAAACUGUCCACACUACGAAACUCUACGGGACCACAACCUUCAAGGACGCCCGCCAUGCUGCUGAGGAGGAGAUUUACACCAACCUGAACCAGAAGAUAGACCAGUUCUUGCAGCUGGCAGACUACGACUGGAUGGCCAUGGAGCCGGGCAGCAAGGCCAGCGACUACCUUGUAGAUCUCAUUGGCUUUCUACGCAGCACGUUUGCGGUGUUCACCCACCUCCCCGGGGAUGUAGAUGUCCACUCUACAAUGUCGGGCAAGGUGGCACAGACGGCGUGCAUGUCGGCGUGCAAGCACCUCUCCACCUCGCUGAUGCAGCUACUGCUGGAGGCCGAAGUGCGGCAGCUGACGCUGGGCGCCCUGCAGCAGUUCAACCUGGACGUGGAGGAGUGCGAACAGUUUGCCAGAUCCGGCCCAGUGCCUGGGUUCCAAGGGGACACGCUGCAGUUGGCCUUCAUCGACUUGAGACAACUCUUAGAUCUGUUCAUCCAGUGGGACUGGUCGACGUAUUUGGCUGACUAUGGGCAACCCACAUGCAAGUAUCUUCGUGUGAACCCAACGACAGCCCUUGUCCUGCUGGAAAAGGUUUUUUUGCUAAUGGUGAACAAGGCUGAGAUAUGAGUGGGGAUGGUGAAGCAGAGGGGACUGUGGUGCUUCUCAUGGUGGCCAGAGCAGGAGCUGGUUCUCCUUUGGUCACACAGGGGCUAAAAGGGAAAGAAUCGCCCCUUCCUCCACACUGUGUCACCUCUUGCUGGGGCUGGUGGCUGCCAUCCUCUAAUAACGGCUGGAGCGGGACCAAGCCGCGUCUCUUUUCCUUGGGAGAAGGCAGAUGCAUAGAAAGUGGAAUAUCAAAAUGAUCUCGUUUCUGUCUCUCUUUGGUCUCAUAUUGAACAAAGGACAGAUGGGAACAAGAAAGGAAGAAAAAAAUCUCACCUGUUCCCAUCCAGUCUUCGGGAGAUCACAGUCAUUAUCUCGGCAGCUUCACGUUUCUAAAGGGGCUCCA